UCAGAAAUUUGACGAGUUUGGGCAAUUCCCAUUUCUCGCCCCGCCACCAACCCUGUAUCGACUCCGGCCAGCUCCACCCAAUUCCAAUACCGCUUCCCUAUCAGCCUCCUCAUCGUCCUCGUCUCCCUUUCUCAUCAUCUGCAAAAUUUUCUUUGCUUUCUCUCUCGCUCUGUCGUUUCCUCUCUCUUCUAUCUCCCUCAACACCUC
rnacentral:misc_RNA from 1 species